UACGUAGGGUGCGAGCGUUAAUCGGAAUUACUGGGCGUAAAGCGUGCGUAGGUGGUUUGUUAAGUCUGAUGUGAAAGCCCUGGGCUCAACCUGGGAAUUGCAUUGGAUACUGGCAGGCUAGAGUGCGGUAGAGGAUGGCGGAAUUCCCGGUGUAGCAGUGAAAUGCGUAGAGAUCGGGAGGAACAUCUGUGGCGAAGGCGGGUCUCUGGACAGUUCCUGACGCUAAGGCACGAAGGUCAGGGGAGCAAACGGG
rnacentral:rRNA from 1 species